AUACGGAGGAUCCGAGCGUUAUCCGGAUUUAUUGGGUUUAAAGGGUGCGCAGGCGGCCAUUUAAGUCAGCGGUUAAAUCGUGGGGCUCAACCCCAUUCUGCCGUUGAUACUGGGUGGCUUGAUUGCGGUCGAGGUUGGCGGAAUUCGUUGUGUAGCGGUGAAAUGCAUAGAUAUGACGAAGAACACCGAUUGCGAAGGCAGCUCACUAGACUGUUACUGACACUGAUGCUCGAAAGUGUGGGUACCAAACAGGAUUAGAUACCCUGGUAGUCCACACAGUAAACGAUGAAUACUCGCUGUUUGCGAUAUACAGUAAGCGGCUUAGCGAAAGCGUUAAGUAAUCCACCUGGGGAGUACGUUCGCAAGAAUGAAACUUAAAGGAAUUGGCGGGG
rnacentral:rRNA from 1 species